rnacentral:sRNA from 1 species
UCAUCGACGUAAUGUGCUGUCUGAGGUC